CACUCUCUCUUUUCCUCUCUUCUUCGUCUCCCGCUUUGAUAAUAAAUCGCGCGACACGACGCCACGAACGUCAAGCACCAGAGGAGGAGGAGGAGCGGGAGGAGCAACGGCGGCGGCGGCGUCGGGUUUGCAUGAGCAAGAGGCCAGAAAUUCCACAACUGUUCAUCUACAGUUAGUCUUUUCAAGCCUUAAGAUUGAACCUAUCUUAAUCAGAAAAGCAUUUCCAAGCUUCCAAACAUAAAUUCAUCAAAUAUUGAAGUAGAGGAUGGAAUCAUUCAACAGUGAUCGAAGAUGGUGCCAAAGGCUCUGCUGAUACAAAGACUGUAGCUGCCAGAGACGAAACAUGGCGUCAACCUUCAUUCCAGAACAGAUAACAUUUUGUCUUCAAGACCUACAACCUAAACAAACCCUGUCAUAAUGAAGAUCUCCAUUGAAGGUGCAUAUUUACCUAAUGAUCUCUCCAAGCCUAGAAAAACCUAAUUAGUGGAAUCGGGUUCAGAAUCAACCGACAUCUUAUGUGGUUAUUUCUCAGAGAAAAUAUUACAGGAUUAUUCGAAUAACGGACCUUUGAGGAUGUGCUUGAUUCAGGGUGUAUCAGUUGGAUUAGAGCCAGCCACUACAGACAGGGGCAUUAGGGGAAUUUGUCAAUGCUCACAGUGUUUGAGUAUCUGCACUCCAGCUACUGUGGACCUCAGGGUUUCUCUGUUAAUACUGCCUAACACUCCGCUGGUAAGACCGCUGAACCGUAGAGCACUGAGUGACAAACAUCACUUCAGUUCCUGAAAGGGUCGGCUUUAUUUUAUGCUUUCUUCUGAUCUUGCGUGUCCUCCAAGCGCUCCGAGAUGCUGCCCCGCGGGAAGACCGCUAUAUAAAUGCAAGUUGUUGUUGUCCUGGUUGCCACGUAGGCCCAGGAGCAGGUUAUCACUAGUCCCCUCAGUCAUAGCUUUUUUUAAAAAUAAAUAAAUUAUCGAGUCGCAAUUCUGUUUAUAGUCACACCUGAAUCCUGCCUGAGCUCUGAAAGAGGAACCAGGCAAAUAAAGUUAUUCUCUUAGGAAGAAAGGUGGGGAAAUUAGAGCAAUUAACCUAAUCUGAUUCAAUAUACCUCAAAUGGCUGGUUACAAAGGAACAUUGUUAGUUAGUUGCCUGGAAACAAGAUAUUUAUUAUUAUAUUAUUUAUGACCUGUGCAAAUGAUCAUAUAGAUUAGUAAACUCACAAUCACAUCUAACCAAUGCUCUCCAUUUCUAUAGUCAUGUGUGAAGUUCAGUAAGCACUUAAAAGUACAAUGUUCCAUCACAAGCACGUUUGUAAAAUGUUUACUAAGCAUCAUCUCUGCUUCAUUUUGACAAGGUAAGUGUGAGACAGGUCAGCAUACACUAUUUCACCAUGCAGCAAAUACAUCAUCCAGACAACUUUGCAGAAAGCCAGAACACUUACAAUGCUAUACAGUAUUAUUUAUACAUCCGCUGUAAUACAUUACCGUGUAAAUUGGCCAUUUCAAGUUAUAAAUAAGCCUUUCAAAAUCGGUAGGACAUCUUAAAGUGUUUUACUGGA